CGGUAAUUCCAGCUCCAAUAGCGUAUACUAAAGUUGUUGCAGUUAAAAAGCUCGUAGUUGGAUUUCUGCGGGGACGGAGCGGCCGGACGCAACUUGCGUCUCGAGCUAGCGCUUUCCCCGCAUCCUGCCGCGAACCGUGCUACCAUUAGCUUGGUGGCGCUGGGGAUCGGCUCGAUUACUUUGAGAAAAAUAGAGUGUUCAAAGCAGGCCACACGCCUUGAAUAAGUUAGCAUGGAAUAAUGACUAAGGACUUCGGUUCUAUUUUGUUGGUGUUCGGGACUGAAGUAAUGAUUGAUAGGGACAGUUGGGGCGGUCUGUAUUCCAAAGCGAAAGGUGAAAUUCUUAGACCUUCGGAAGACAAACAGCUGCGAAAGCGUUCCGCAAGGAUGUUCCCUUUGAUCAAGAACGAAAGUUGGGGGAUCGAAGACGAUCAGAUACCGUCGUAGUCUCAACUAUAAACUAUACCAGCUAGGGAUCGGUCAACGUUUAAUCAUUUGACUUGAUCGGCACCUUAUGAGAAAUCAAAGCAUCUGGGUUCCGGGGGGAGUAUGGUCGCAAGGCUGAAACUUAAAGGAAUUGACGGAAGGGCACCACCAGCCGUGGAGCCUGUGGCUUAAUUUGACUCAACACGGGAAAACUUACCAGGUCCAGACAUAGUAAGGAUUGACAGAUUGAUAGCUCUUUCUUGAUUCUGUGGGUGGUGGUGCAUGGCCGUUCUUAGUUGGUGGAGUGAUUUGUCUGGUUAAUUCCGUUAACGAACGAGACCCCAGCCUGCUAAAUAGCGCGGCUGAGCUUUGCUCGGUGCGAGCUUCUUAGAGGGACUAUGAUGCGCGAUAGCACAUGGAAGUUUGGGGCAAUAACAGGUCUGUGAUGCCCUUAGAUGUUCUGGGCCGCACACGGGCUACACUGGCGCCUGCAACGAGCAUAUCAGCUGGCCCGAGAGGGUCUUGGCUAAUCUUUUGAACCGGCGCCGUGCUUGGGAUUGACCAUUGCAAUUGUUGGUCAUGCAACGAGGAAUGCCUUGUAAACGCGAGUCAUCAGCUCGCAUUGAAUACGUCCCUGCCCUUUGUACACGCCGCCCGUCGCUCCUACCGAUGAAUGUUCCGAUGAAAUUUUCGGAGAGCGCCAGAGAACGGGGCUCUGCCUUGCAGAUCUGGAGGCUCAAAGUCACUUAAAUCUGAACAUUUCGAGGAAGGAGAAGUCGUAACAAGGUAGCCG
rnacentral:rRNA from 1 species